rnacentral:tRNA from 1 species
GGAGAGGUGGCCGAGUGGUCGAAGGCGCUCCCCUGCUAAGGGAGUAUACCCGGAAGGGUAUCGUGGGUUCGAGAUCCCAUCUUCUCCGCCA